UACAGAGACUGCAAGCGUUAUUCGGAUUCACUGGGCGUAAAGGGUGCGCAGGCGGCCAAGUGUGUGAGGCGUGAAAGCCUGGGGCUUACUCCAGAAUUGCACCUCAAACUACAUGGCUAGAGCAUUGGAGAGGGUAGCAGAAUUCACGGUGUAGCAGUGAAAUGCGUAGAUAUCGUGAGGAAUACCAGAGGCGAAGGCGGCUACCUGGACAAUUGCUGACGCUCAGGCACGAAAGCGUGGGGAGCAAAAGGG
rnacentral:rRNA from 1 species